rnacentral:rRNA from 1 species
GACGUAGGGUGCGAGCGUUGUCCGGAUUUAUUGGGCGUAAAGAGCUCGUAGGCGGCUCGUCGCGUCGACCGUGAAAACCCGCGGCUUAACUGCGGGCUUGCGGUUGAUACGGGCGGGCUAGAGUUCGGUAGGGGGGACUGGAAUUCCUGGUGUAGCGGUGAAAUGCGCAGAUAUCAGGAGGAACACCGGUGGCGAAGGCGGGUCUCUGGGCCGAUACUGACGCUGAGGAGCGAAAGCGUGGGGAGCGAACAGG